CCUACGGGAGGCAGCAGUGGGGAAUAUUGGACAAUGGGGGGAACCCUGAUCCAGCCAUGCCGCGUGUGUGAAGAAGGCCCUCGGGUUGUAAAGCACUUUCAGUGAGGAAGAACGCCUGGUGGUUAAUACCCAGCAGGAAAGACAUCACUCACAGAAGAAGCACCGGCUAACUCCGUGCCAGCAGCCGCGGUAAUACGGAGGGUGCGAGCGUUAAUCGGAAUUACUGGGCGUAAAGCGCGCGUAGGUGGCUUGAUAAGCCGGUUGUGAAAGCCCCGGGCUCAACCUGGGAACGGCAUCCGGAACUGUCAAGCUAGAGUGCAGGAGAGGAAGGUAGAAUUCCCGGUGUAGCGGUGAAAUGCGUAGAGAUCGGGAGGAAUACCAGUGGCGAAGGCGGCCUUCUGGACUGACACUGACACUGAGGUGCGAAAGCGUGGGUAGCAAACAGGAUUAGAUACCCUGGUAGUC
rnacentral:rRNA from 1 species